UGGGGAAUAUUGGGCAAUGGGGGCAACCCUGACCCAGCGACGCCGCGUGAGGGAAGACGGCCUUCGGGUUGUAAACCUCUUUUGUACGGGAAGAAGGAAGUGACGGUACUGUACGAAUAAGUCCCGGCUAACUACGUGCCAGCAGCCGCGGUAAUACGUAGGGGACGAGCGUUGUCCGGAAUUACUGGGCGUAAAGGGCGCGCAGGCUGUGCUGCAAGUCAGCUGUGAAAUGUCUGGGCUUAACCCGGGCAUGCGGUUGAGACUGCAGUGCUGGAGUGCUGUAGAGGCAAGUGGAAUUCCCAGUGUAGCGGUGAAAUGCGUAGAUAUUAGGAGGAACACCAGUGGCGAAGGCGGCUUUCUGGACGACAACUGACGCUGAGGCGCGAAAGCGUGGGGAGCAAACAGG
rnacentral:rRNA from 2 species